rnacentral:rRNA from 1 species
CAAUAGCGUAUACUAAAGUUGUUGCAGUUAAAAAGCUCGUAGUCGAAUAUAGGUUGUUUGGAUGCGCGAGCACUCUUGUUUAACUUGGGAUGCUUGCGCCCAUUAACCGCCCUUGUGGGGUUCGAUGUUCUUGAUUAUCAAGAACAACAAAUCAAUCCCACACAUUACUGUGAACAAAAUAGAGUGUUCAUGGCAGGCCAUUAGGGCUUGAAUACCGCAGCAUGGAAUAAUAGAAUAGGACUUCCGGUUCUAUUUUAUUGGUUUUUGGAGCCGAAGUAAUGAUUAAUAGGGAUAGUUGGGGGCACUCGUACUCCGUUGUCAGAGGUGAAAUUCUUGGAUUGACGGAAGACGAACAACUGCGAAAGCAUCUGCCAAGGAUGUUUUCAUUGAUCAAGAACGAAAGUUAGGGGAUCGAAGACGAUCAGAUACCAU